rnacentral:rRNA from 1 species
ACUCAAAGGAAUAGACGGGGGCCCGCACAAGCGGUGGAGCAUGUGGUUUAAUUCGAAGCAACGCGAAGAACCUUACCAAGGCUUGACAUGGACUGGACCGGGGUAGAGAUAUCCCUUCCCUUCGGGGCUAGUCACACAGGUGGUGCAUGGUUGUCGUCAGCUCGUGUCGUGAGAUGUUGGGUUAAGUCCCGCAACGAGCGCAACCCUUAUCUUUAGUAGCCAGCGCGUAAAGGUGGGCACAUUAGAGAGACUGCCGUGGAUAACACGGAGGAAGGUGGGGACGACGUCAAAUCAUCAUGCCCCUUAUGUCUUGGGCAACACACGUGCUACAAUGGCUCAUACAGAGUGAAGCAAGACUGUGAAGUGGAGCAAACCACGAAAAUGAGUCCCAGUUCGGAUUGUAGUCUGCAACCCGACUACAUGAAGUUGGAAUCGCUAGUAAUCGCAAAUCAGCAUGUUGCGGUGAAUACGUUCCCGGGCCUUGCACACACCGCCCGU